rnacentral:rRNA from 1 species
GGGUUGUGAGGUUAAGCGACUAAGCGUACACGGUGGAUGCCCUGGCAGUCAGAGGCGAUGAAGGGCGUGCUAAUCUGCGAUAAGCGCCGGUAAGGUGAUAUGAACCGUUAUAACCGGCGAUACCCGAAUGGGGAAACCCAGUGUGACUCGUCACACUAUCAUUAACUGAAUCCAUAGGUUAAUGAGGCGAACCGGGGGAACUGAAACAUCUAAGUACCCCGAGGAAAAGAAAUCAACCGAGAUUCCCCCAGUAGCGGCGAGCGAACGGGGAGGAGCCCAGAGCCUGAAUCAGCAUGUGUGUUAGUGGAAGCGUCUGGAAAGACGCGCGAUACAGGGUGACAGCCCCGUACACAAAAGCGUAUGUGCUGUGAGCUCGAUGAGUAGGGCGGGACACGUGGUAUCCUGUCUGAAUAUGGGGGGACCAUCCUCCAAGGCUAAAUACUCCUGACUGACCGAUAGUGAACCAGUACCGUGAGGGAAAGGCGAAAAGAACCCCGGCGAGGGGAGUGAAAAAGAACCUGAAACCGUGUACGUACAAGCAGUGGGAGCACAGGUUUACCUGUGUGACUGCGUACCUUUUGUAUAAUGGGUCAGCGACUUAUAUUCUGUAGCAAGGUUAACCGAAUAGGGGAGCCGGAGGGAAACCGAGUCUUAAUUGGGCGUUAAGUUGCAGGGUAUAGACCCGAAACCCGGUGAUCUAGCCAUGGGCAGGUUGAAGGUUGGGUAACACUAACUGGAGGACCGAACCGACUAAUGUUGAAAAAUUAGCGGAUGACCUGUGGCUGGGGGUGAAAGGC